CACGUAGGGGACGAGCGUUGUCCGGAUUCAUUGGGCGUAAAGCGCGCGUAGGCGGCUCGGAAAGUCGGGCGUGAAAUGCCGGGGCUCAACCCCGGGACUGCGUCCGAUACUUCCGAGCUGGAGGUAGGUAGGGGAGAUCGGAAUUCCUGGUGUAGCGGUGAAAUGCGUUGAUAUCGAUAGGAACUCCGGUGGCGAAGGCGGCAUACUGGAUCACUUCUGACGCUGAGGCGCGAAAGCCAGGGGAGCAAACGGG
rnacentral:rRNA from 1 species